CUUUCUGUGCAGGUUGGGAUAGGCAGCAAUGCUUUUUACUUGUAUGGUAUUGCACUUGUCCCGGCCUGUUGAGGACUU
rfam:Salmo salar isolate Sally breed double haploid chromosome ssa25, whole genome shotgun sequence.